UUGAUGACUCUCGACAACGGAUAUCUUGGCUCUUGCAUCGAUGAAGAACGCAGCGAAAUGCGAUAAGUGGUGUGAAUUGCAGAAUCCCGUGAACCAUCGAGUCUUUGAACGCAAGUUGCGCCCGAGGCCAUCAGGCUAAGGGCACGCCUGCCUGGGCGUCGUGU
rnacentral:rRNA from 1 species